AGCGAACGCUGGCGGCAGGCUUAACACAUGCAAGUCGAGCGGGCAUCCUUGUGGUUUCAGCGGCAGACGGGUGAGUAACGCGUGGGAACGUGCCCUUCGGUUCGGAAUAACUCAGGGAAACUUGAGCUAAUACCGGAUACGUGCGAGAGCAGAAAGUUUUAUCUGCCGAAGGAUCGGCCCGCGUCUGAUUAGCUAGUUGGUGAGGUUAUGGCUCACCAAGGCGACGAUCAGUAGCUGGUCUGAGAGGAUGAUCAGCCACACUGGGACUGAGACACGGCCCAGACUCCUACGGGAGGCAGCAGUGGGGAAUAUUGGACAGUGGGGGCAACCAUGAUCCAGCCAUGCCGCGUGAGUGAUGGCGGCCUUAGGGUUGUAAAGCUCUUUUAUCCGGGACGAUAAUGACGGUACCGGAGGAAUAAGCCCCGGCUAACUUCGUG
rnacentral:rRNA from 1 species